UCUUGCACUGUAACUAGACACUAGACAAUAUCCUAGUCCGUUUUUUUCAUAUGCCUAUGACUCUAGCUCUAACUCUGACUUCUCUUGCCUCUGCAUUCACAUCCAUAAACCUACACACACACACACACACACACACACACACACACACACACACACACGUUUAAAAAAAAUAAAAUAAGUGAAUAUGUUGAAGACUAUGCCAAGGACAAUGCCUUAUGCUUGAAACAUGUUGCCUUUAAUAAGGUUUUUUUUUUUUUCAUUCCAAAACUUAAAUACAUUGCGCUGAAACAGUAAAUCAAAAUGGCCUAUUAGAACUGAUUCUGUACACCUCGUAGGUGAGGAGCACUGCAUGUGUGUAUGUGUACCACACACAUACCUGGUAGCUGAAGAGUCCAGGAGAGUGUUGCAUCUCUUGGGACUGGAGUUACAAAUGGUUGUUAGCUGCCAUGUGGGUGCAAGGAAUUGAACCUGGGUCCUCUGGAAGAGCAGCUAGUGCUCUUAACUGCUAAGCCACCUCUCCAGCCCUAAGAACAGCAUAUAUAUUGGAAAUAUUGAUAAUAACAUACACACACACACACACACACACACACACACACACACCAAUUCUGUGACUGUAAUCAUAAAAUUGUUUUGAAAAGUAAGGAUAGGGUCUUGAAUGUUUUCAUGGAUGAUGGAUAGAAAAUUUUACUAUGAUAUUCUGCCAUCUCAGAACCAAUCUCCAGUGAGAAAAUGGUCUUGGAACCAUGGCACAGUUGCAUCUAAAUGUCACCAUGAUCUUUUCCCUUUGGGGACUGUGAUAUCGCUGAAGUGAUUACUAUGGGACUCACUAGCUUCAGACUUACAGCAGCCUUAACACAGGGUUCAGGGCUUCUCCUUGUCCACCGAGCUCUUGGUUAGCCUUUAGCACAGGUUGGCCAGUCCUAUAAGACGUUAAUUGUGCUUCUUUUGUUUAUCAUAUUGCAAAGCACAUUUUAUCACACAUUGUUUUGGUUUAAUCUGUUUAAAGUCAAAUUCUCAAGAGUAAGUGCCCAGCCCUUAGAGCUGAACCAGUCUUUGUUGGUAAAUGGCUUAGGGAGGAAUCCGUAGAAACUGAAUAUCAGAUGAAGUUUUCAUGUAGCUCUCAAUCCAUACAUCUAGUUACUUGAUUGAAUUUUGAGAAAAUUCGUGAUAUUUUCAGAGAAAGGUGAAAACCAAGUUAAAAAUAAGUAAGAUGACUAAGGCAAAGGUUAUAUGGGUUUAUAUGAACUUAAUUAUGAGCUGAAUUAUGGAGCAAAUAUGCCAGAACAUUCUGUGCAUUUGCUGGGGUAAACACUGAGUUAGUGCUAAGGUUGCUAAGAGCCAAUGAAGAAAGAAAUUGAUUUUCUUACAUUCUUUCUUUUUUUAAAUUUUUGAUACAGAGUCUCACUAUAUAGCCUUGGCUAUCCUAAAACUUGUUAUGUAGUUGAGGCUACCCUCAAACUCACAGAGGCCCACGAGCCUCUGCCUCUUGAACACUGAGAUUAAAGGCUUGUGCCACAAUACCGAGACCAAGAAGUUGACUUUUCAAUAUUCGAAAAAUUAUGGUUCCACUCGAAUAUAUGAAACAGCUACUUCUAGAAUCGGGACUAUGAAUUCAUCUUAUGGGAUAGCAGAAGGAAUUUACUGUGUAAUAUAAGGAAAAACAUGUUGAACUCUUCUUUACACUGAAAACAACCAUGCAUUUUAGAAGGAAGGGCCUGAUUCUGCCAGCUCCUGUCCCCACGAUCAUGGUAUACCCAGAUAAGAAGUGCUGCUGUAGGAAGAGAUAUGGUCACUCAUCAAAUAACAAAAGAGCUACCAAACAUUCUGGCAAGAUGUUCACUUAACAAAGACAUGGAGGAAUGCAUUUCCACUAAUAGAUUAAUAAUGCAACAUACAUUGCCAAAUCAGAAGAGGUAAAUGAUGAUCUAUUCCUAUGACUUUUUUUUUCUUUCUGAAAGUGGGGCUCUAAUACUAACAUUAUUUACUUGGGUGCAUUUCUGCCUAUUCUCGAUAAAUAUCAUGACAGGAUGCAGCAAAUAACACUAGGUAUUAAAUGGCAAGAAUGAAGCUAGUUAAACAUAGAAUCUAUAAUUGCUCCUUAGGUUUGCAAUAUAAGCACCUUUUCAAUGAAAGGAAACUGACUCUAGCAAGAAUUUAUAGGUACCAAUUAUCCCAGAAAAUGAUGACUUAAGAGGAAGGUGUGGGGAUAGAAACCAAUUAGAGAAAGGUCGGCACCUGGAGCCCUCUCUUGGGGCUGGACAGGUUGGAUAGGAGAGCUGUAACUCGGGGAUGUGACUGAUGGAGUCUGUUUGACGUCUGGGAAAUUAUUCACCUCCCCCUUUCCUCUGAGUCUUCUUGAAUUUUAUGUUGCCAGUGUGUAGAGAGUGAUCACUAAAUACCACUGUGGGAAUGUCUUCCAGAAGUUUACUGGGGAGGGUUUAUAAAAACGUGGGUUUCUAAAAGUUACUUUUAAAUGUUGGGGCAUUUUGGGGGCGAGUUAUCUUAACGUUGGAGGUUUGGGGCUUGGAAUCAAAGCUGCUGUUGAGGGCUGUGAAUAUAGGUGAGGUAGAGGGCUUACACAGUUGUGAAUGUCCCUAGGUGAGAUUCUCCAGCAGGGCUAACUCCGCAAAUACAAAAACAGCAGCAAACUUACUUUGUGCCUCUUCCCUCUGGUGUUAUGGCUGAAGAGGUGCCCAACCAGGGCCUAGGUAGGAAGGAAACAGUCCCUUGGAUUGGUUUCUAGUUCCUUUGAGUCAGUUGGUUUUCCUUCAUAUAUAGGACUUUGGAUGCGUUGAAUCUCUUUCUUCUCCAGUGAUUUCUUCUUUACUUUUUGAAAUGGCAGGAUUCCCCAACUGUAUUUGGUCCUUUCCUUUAGAGUUAGAAGCAGAAAAACUUUUUGGACCAGAAUCUUGCUAUAUUAGUUGGUUUUGUCAACUUGAUACAUGCUAGAUUCACAGAGAAAGGAGAUGCAGUUGGGGAAAUGCUUCCAUGAGAUCCAGUUUUAGAGAAUUUUCUUAGCAGAUCAAUGUAGCAGGUGGAGUCCCUGGGUUGGUGGUCCUAGGUUCUUUAAGAAGGCAGGCUGAGCAAGCCAGGGGAAGCAAGCCAGUAAGCAGCACUCCUCCAUGGCCUCUGCAUAAGAUCCUGCCUCUGGGUUCCAGCCCUGCUUGAGUUCCUGUCCUGACUUCCUCCAAAUGAUGGAUUGGGAUGUGGAAGUGUAAGCUGAAUAAACCCUUUCCUCCCAACUUGCUUUCUGGCCAUGGUGCUUCAUCGUAGCAAUAAAACGCUGACUAAGAUACCUGUUAUGCCUCCCAAAUGCUAGAAUGUGUGCCACCGUACUUGUCUAACUCUCAAUACACCGUGCUUCUGCCUUAUUAUUAUGUCAGCAUUGUUCUGGAAAAAGCCGCUGAGUUCAUAAUUAUUGUUCAUUCUCUUGCUCAUUCUCUGUCUCUCUCUACACUAUGGAUGGGACCCCCAGGACACCAUAUGCUCGUUGUCUAUACUACCAGUUGUCCCCUAAAUUUUCUUUCCUUAUUAUUGUGUUCAUGUUUCAGUUAUAGGCUGUGCAUUGGUCAGACUCAGGGUAAGCUGAACAAAGAGAUAAAUAGGUCAUUUGCACCACGAGGUCA
rnacentral:lncRNA from 1 species